AGUCAAGUAAUGAAGUGCACAUGGUGGAUGCCUUGGCAGUCAGAGGCGAUGAAAGACGUGACAGCCUGCGGAAAGCGGCGGGGGGGGGGGAAUAGCGGCAAUAUCCUGUGAUCCGGCGAUAUCUGAAUGGGGAAACCCACUUGUCAUAAGACAGGUAUCGUAAAUUUAUUUACGAGGCAAACCGGGAGAAGUGAAACAUCUCAGUAACCCGAGGAAAAGACAUCAAUAGAGAUUCCCCUAGUAGCGGCGAGCGAACGGGGAGGAGCCGACUGAUUAUAAUUUAGAGGAAUGACUUGGAAAGGUCAAUCGUAGAGGGUGAUAAUCCCGUACUCGAAAGGUUAUAAGAAGCAUAUUAAGUAGGGCGGAACACGAGAAAUUCUGUCUGAAGAUGGGGGGACCAUCCUCCAAGGCUAAAUACUCCUGACUGACCGAUAGUGAACCAGUACCGUGAGGGAAAGGCGAAAAGAACCCCUGUGAGGGGAGUGAAAUAGAACCUGAAACCGUGUGCAUACAAGCAGUCGGAGCGGACAUGUUCCGUGACGGCGUACCUUUUGUAUAAUGGGUCAGCGACUUAUAUUCUGUAGCAAGGUUAACCGAAUAGGGGAGCCGUAGGGAAACCGAGUCUUAAUAGGGCGUCUAGUUGCAGGGUAUAGACCCGAAACCGAGUGAUCUAUCCAUGAGCAGGUUGAAAGUGACGUAACAGUUACCGGAGGACCGAACCCACUGUCGUUGAAAAGCCAGGGGAUGACUUGUGGAUAGGGGUGAAAGGCUAAUCAAACUCGGUGAUAGCUGGUUCUCCCCGAAAGCUAUUUAGGUAGCGCCUCGGACGAACACCAUUGGGGGUAGAGCACUGUUUCGGCUAGGGGGUCAUCUCGACUUACCAAACCGAUGCAAACUCCGAAUACCGAUGAGUGAUAUCCGGGAGACAGACGGCGGGUGCUAACGUCCGUCGUCAAGAGGGAAAAAACCAAGACCGCCAGCUAAGGAAUUCCUAGUUAAGUGGGAAACGAUGUGGGAAGGCACAGAACAGAAUUCCUAGUUAAGUGGGAAACGAUGUGGGAAGGCACAGACAGCUAGGAGGUUGGCUUAGAAGCAGCCACCCUUUAAAGAAAGCGUAAUAGCUCACUAGUCGAGUCGGCCUGCGCGGAAGAUGUAACGGGGCUCAAACUAGGAGCCGAAGCUGCGGAUUUAAUUGUUUCAAUUAAGUGGUAGGGGAGCAUUGUGUAAGCCUGUGAAGGUGUGUUGUAAAGCAUGCUGGAGGUAUCACAAGAGCGAAUGCUGACGUGAGUAACGACAAAACGGGUGAAAAGCCCGUUCGCCGGAAGACCAAGGGUUCCAGUCCAACGUUAAUCGGGGCUGGGUGAGUCGACCCCUAAGGCGAGGCCGAAAGGCGUAGUCGAUGGGAAAUCGGUUAAUAUUCCGAUACUUGUUUAUGAUGCGAUGGAGGGACGGAGAAGGUUAUGCCAGCUUGGCGAUGGUUGUCCAAGUGGAAGGAUGUAGUUAGGUUUAGUAGGCAAAUCCGCUAGACUAUUAAUGAGAUCUGAUAGCAAGCUGUACUUGUACAGCGAAGUGGCAAAUACCCUGCUUCCAGGAAAAGCUUCUAAGCGAUAGUCAUAAAGAAAUCGUACCCGAAACCGACACAGGUGGUCAGGUAGAGAAUACCAAGGCGCUUGAGAGAACUCUGCUGAAGGAACUAGGCAAAAUGGUACCGUAACUUCGGGAGAAGGUACGCUGCCGAUGGUGAGUAGACAUGCUCUACAAAGCUAUUGGCAGUCGCAGAUACCAGGCCGCUGCAACUGUUUAUUAAAAACACAGCACUCUGCAAACACGAAAGUGGACGUAUAGGGUGUGAUGCCUGCCCGGUGCUGGAAGGUUAAUUGAUGGGGUUAGCGUAAGCGAAGCUCUUGAUCGAAGCCCCAGUAAACGGCGGCCGUAACUAUAACGGUCCUAAGGUAGCGAAAUUCCUUGUCGGGUAAGUUCCGACCUGCACGAAUGGCAUAAUGAUGGCGGCGCUGUCUCCAGCAGAGACUCAGUGAAAUCGAAAUCGCAGUGAAGAUGCUGUGUACCCGCGGCUAGACGGAAAGACCCCGUGAACCUUUACUACAGCUUUACAUUGAACUUUGACCUUACCUGUGUAGGAUAGGUGGGAGGCUUUGAAGCAGGCACGCCAGUGUCUGUGGAGCCAUCCUUGAAAUACCACCCUGGUAAUGUUGGGGUUCUAACUCAAGCUUAACAGAGCUGAGGACAAUGUAUGGUGGGUAGUUUGACUGGGGCGGUCUCCUCCUAAAGAGUAACGGAGGAGUACGAAGGUGCGCUCAGAACGGUCGGAAAUCGUUCGAAGAGUAUAAAGGCAAAAGCGCGCUUAACUGCGAGACCCACAAGUCGAGCAGAUACGAAAGUAGGUCUUAGUGAUCCGGUGGUUCUGUAUGGAAGGGCCAUCGCUCAACGGAUAAAAGGUACUCUGGGGAUAACAGGCUGAUACCGCCCAAGAGUUCAUAUCGACGGCGGUGUUUGGCACCUCGAUGUCGGCUCAUCUCAUCCUGGGGCUGAAGCAGGUCCCAAGGGUAUGGCUGUUCGCCAUUUAAAGAGGUACGCGAGCUGGGUUUAGAACGUCGUGAGACAGUUCGGUCCCUAUCUACCGUGGGCGUUGGAAAUUUGAGAGGAUCUGCUCCUAGUACGAGAGGACCAGAGUGGACGAACCUCUGGUGUUUCGGUUGUGACGCCAGUCGCAUUGCCGAGUAGCUAUGUUCGGAUGGGAUAACCGCUGAAAGCAUCUAAGCGGGAAGCCCACCUUAAGAUUAGAUUUCCCUAAAGAGCCGUUGUAGACUACGACGUUGAUAGGUUGGGUGUGGAAGCAUAGUGAUAUGUGUAGCUAACCAAUACUAAUUGCUCGUUUGGCUUGACUAU
rfam:Aptenodytes forsteri contig15395, whole genome shotgun sequence.